CCUACGGGUGGCAGCAGUGAGGAAUAUUGGUCAAUGGACGCAAGUCUGAACCAGCCAUGCCGCGUGCAGGAAGACGGCUCUAUGAGUUGUAAACUGCUUUUGUACGAGGGUAAACGCAGAUACGCGUACCCGUCUGAAAGUAUCGUACGAAUAAGGAUCGGCUAACUCCGUGCCAGCAGCCGCGGUAAUACGGAGGAUUCAAGCGUUAUCCGGAUUUAUUGGGUUUAAAGGGUGCGUAGGCGGUCGGGUAAGUUAGAGGUGAAAGCCCGAGGCUCAACCUCGGAAUUGCCUUUGAUACUGGUCGGCUAGAGUGUAGUAGCGGUAGGCGGAAUGUAUGGUGUAGCGGUGAAAUGCUUAGAUAUCAUGCAGAACUCCGAUUCCGAAGGCAGCUUACCAAGCUACUUCUGACGUUGAGGCACGAAAGCGUGGGGAGCAAACAGGAUUAGAUACCCCUGUAGUC
rnacentral:rRNA from 1 species